CAAAAUUUCAGUCACCUCAGUGUAACGGAAAGAUGAACCGUCUAUGGGACAUACAAUCCAAGAUCUUCUUAUGGGAAUCAUAAGCGUCUUGAGAUGGCCUCUUCUAGCUGGGGACAUGCCACUUAGCUCAUCUGGAAACUCCUGACAUUCUGCUAUGUGGAAAAGACUCCAGCAAGGGAGUUCUCUGGUAUGGUCUAAAGCUUUUCCACGAGGAAACAAAAUAGCACUGAAUUGCCAUUUUUCCAACUGCAAAAAGGUAAGUCGGAAUGGAGGAG
rnacentral:lncRNA from 1 species